UCUCCGUUGGUGAACCAGCGGAGGGAUCAUUACAGGACUCGCAAGACUCCUUAAACCCUGUGAACUUACUACAAAGCACGUUGCUUCGGCGGGUGCCUCCGGGCGGGUUUUCCCCCCGGGCGCGCUAAGCCCGCCGGCAGCCUACCAAAUUCUACCUCUUUGCGUUGGCAUCUCGAGUACAAACAAAUAAGUUAAAACUUUCAACAACGGAUCUCUUGGUUCUG
rnacentral:misc_RNA from 1 species